rnacentral:rRNA from 1 species
UGGGGAAUAUUGGAUAAUGGGCGCAAGCCUGAUCCAGCCAUGCCGCGUGAGUGAUGAAGGCCCUAGGGUUGUAAAGCUCUUUCACCGGUGAAGAUAAUGACGGUAACCGGAGAAGAAGCCCCGGCUAACUUCGUGCCAGCAGCCGUGGUAAUACGAAGGGGGCUAGCGUUGUUCGGAUUUACUGGGCGUAAAGCGCACGUAGGCGGACUUUUAAGUCAGGGGUGAAAUCCCGGGGCUCAACCCCGGAACUGCCUUUGAUACUGUAAGUCUUGAGUAUAGUGGAGGUGAGUGGAAUUCCGAGUGUAGGGGUGAAAUUCGUAGAUAUUCGGAGGAACACCAGUGGCGAAGGCGGCUCACUGGACCAUUACUAACGCUAAGGUGCGAAAACGUGGGGAGCAAACAGG